CCUUCCUUUCACGAAAUAGUAUCGUAUGCCCUCCGUAUCCGUUCACCCUCUCCACGUGGCAACACUAAACUUCGACUAAUCAGUGAAUACGCAAAAGCCAAGUAUCAAGGGCUCACGCACGCUCCCCAAUGCUACCAACAGCAACAGUGCACAAGCGCGACCUGCAACGCGUGGGCCAACUGAACAUGAGCACUCUCUUCAUUGUUUUCUUUUCUGCAAGGUGCAGCUGUGCGAUGGGGUUCGAAUGCGCUGGUCGAAACCGGUUUGCCCUAGCGUGGGAAACGCCCCAAAGAUCCGCUGGCGGCGCUGGUGCUGGUGCUGCGCGGCUGUGAUUCUAAUGAAACAUCUUUGCUACAGGUGAUGUGCGCUGCGGCGUGCGAGAUGACCUUACUGUUUCCAAUCUCCAACCAAGAUCAAUGAGCUGCGACUGUUGCGCGCGCGCUCCGGGCUUUGCGUGCUUGGUGGCACACGGGGCCCUGCGCAGAGACGUGCCUGUGUCCGUGUGUGUGUGUGUGUGCGUGCGCGUGGCACAUGAUUACGAUCAAGGACAUCUGAGUCAAAACCAAAGUCACUGUCUGAACCCAACGACUGUCGAUUGUGUCCCCCGUGUCUGAGCUGUCGCUGCGCGCGCUGCGCACUCCCCCGGCUCUGCCCCUCUCCCCCCUCGUCUGCAAGCACCGCCUCGCUGCUGCGCGUGAAUGAUGAUGCGUGUAUUCUGCAAUGCGGACUCCACUGACGAGGAACAAUACUACUACUAUGACUAUUGGCAUCUGACGCUGUGCGCUGCGGUGUGCGUGAUGUGCGUGCGCGUGUGUGACUGCUCUACGACCUGCUGCGCUGCUGGUGCGCUGGCGAAGAAGGACCAAAAGGUCGUUCGCGGUGAACUGGUGCCGCGCACGCGGGACAGUCCUACGAGAGAAUGGUGCCGCUUGGGGUGUGCUGCGCAGCUGUGCGAUGGGGUUCGAAUGCGCUGGUCGAAACCGGUUUGCCCUAGCGUGGGAAACGCCCCAAAGAUCCGCUGGCGGCGCUGGUGCUGGUGCUGCGCGGCUGUGAUUCUAAUGAAACAUCUUUGCUACAGGUGAUGUGCGCUGCGGCGUGCGAGAUGACCUUACUGUUUCCAAUCUCCAACCAAGAUCAAUGAGCUGCGACUGUUGCGCGCGCGCUCCGGGCUUUGCGUGCUUGGUGGCACACGGGGCCCUGCGCAGAGACGUGCCUGUGUCCGUGUGUGUGUGUGUGUGCGUGCGCGUGGCACAUGAUUACGAUCAAGGACAUCUGAGUCAAAACCAAAGUCACUGUCUGAACCCAACGACUGUCGAUUGUGUCCCCCGUGUCUGAGCUGUCGCUGCGCGCGCUGCGCACUCCCCCGGCUCUGCCCCUCUCCCCCCUCGUCUGCAAGCACCGCCUCGCUGCUGCGCGUGAAUGAUGAUGCGUGUAUUCUGCAAUGCGGACUCCACUGACGAGGAACAAUACUACUACUAUGACUAUUGGCAUCUGACGCUGUGCGCUGCGGUGUGCGUGAUGUGCGUGCGCGUGUGUGACUGCUCUACGACCUGCUGCGCUGCUGGUGCGCUGGCGAAGAAGGACCAAAAGGUCGUUCGCGGUGAACUGGUGCCGCGCACGCGGGACAGUCCUACGAGAGAAUGGUGCCGCUUGGGGUGUGCUGCGCAGCUGUGCGAUGGGGUUCGAAUGCGCUGGUCGAAACCGGUUUGCCCUAGCGUGGGAAACGCCCCAAAGAUCCGCUGGCGGCGCUGGUGCUGGUGCUGCGCGGCUGUGAUUCUAAUGAAACAUCUUUGCUACAGGUGAUGUGCGCUGCGGCGUGCGAGAUGACCUUACUGUUUCCAAUCUCCAACCAAGAUCAAUGAGCUGCGACUGUUGCGCGCGCGCUCCGGGCUUUGCGUGCUUGGUGGCACACGGGGCCCUGCGCAGAGACGUGCCUGUGUCCGUGUGUGUGUGUGUGUGCGUGCGCGUGGCACAUGAUUACGAUCAAGGACAUCUGAGUCAAAACCAAAGUCACUGUCUGAACCCAACGACUGUCGAUUGUGUCCCCCGUGUCUGAGCUGUCGCUGCGCGCGCUGCGCACUCCCCCGGCUCUGCCCCUCUCCCCCCUCGUCUGCAAGCACCGCCUCGCUGCUGCGCGUGAAUGAUGAUGCGUGUAUUCUGCAAUGCGGACUCCACUGACGAGGAACAAUACUACUACUAUGACUAUUGGCAUCUGACGCUGUGCGCUGCGGUGUGCGUGAUGUGCGUGCGCGUGUGUGACUGCUCUACGACCUGCUGCGCUGCUGGUGCGCUGGCGAAGAAGGACCAAAAGGUCGUUCGCGGUGAACUGGUGCCGCGCACGCGGGACAGUCCUACGAGAGAAUGGUGCCGCUUGGGGUGUGCUGCGCAGCUGUGCGAUGGGGUUCGAAUGCGCUGGUCGAAACCGGUUUGCCCUAGCGUGGGAAACGCCCCAAAGAUCCGCUGGCGGCGCUGGUGCUGGUGCUGCGCGGCUGUGAUUCUAAUGAAACAUCUUUGCUACAGGUGAUGUGCGCUGCGGCGUGCGAGAUGACCUUACUGUUUCCAAUCUCCAACCAAGAUCAAUGAGCUGCGACUGUUACUGCCGGGUUGAAUUUCUUUUUUUGUUGUUUGAAAUUCGCUUUUACUAGGGUGGAGUAAGGUAAUGCUCGC
rnacentral:misc_RNA from 1 species